rnacentral:sRNA from 1 species
GAUCAUUAGUGAAUAAACUUGUGUAGGUUGUUGCUGACCUCCUCGGAGGUAUGUGCACACCUGCCAUUAUCCACCUCCCACCUGUGCACUUCUUGUAGGCCAAACCCAUCAYUCUUUCAGGUCUKUGCCUGGCGUGAGGAACUGCUUUGCUUUCCUUGGAUGGGGUGUGGUCUAUGUCUUUAUCAACACUGUAUGUAAUUGAAUGUCUGUCCUGGGCCUAUUUGACCCAUAAAACCUUAUACAACUUUCAACAACGGAUCUCUUGGCUCUCGCAUCGAUGAAGAACGCAGCGAAAUGCGAUAAGUAAUGUGAAUUGCAGAAUUCAGUGAAUCAUCGAAUCUUUGAACGCACCUUGCGCUCCUUGGCAUUCCGAGGAGCAUGCCUGUUUGAGUGUCAUUAAAUUCUCAACCUCAUCUCCCUUGUGGGAUGAAGGUUGGACUUGGGAGCUGCUGGCCCAUUACUGGGUCAGCUCUUCUGAAAUUCAUUAGCAGGGCCAUUGUAUGCAAAACUGCAGCUUGGUAAUGAUGGGAAUCUUACCAGGUCACGGAUAAGCAUGUGCCUCGCUCACAGCCGUCUCUCUGAGACAAUUCAUUUGACAAUUUGACCUCAAAUCAGGUAGGACUACCCGCUGAACUUAAGCAUAUCAAUAAGCGGAGGAAAAGAAACUAACAAGGAUUCCCCUAGUAACUGCGAGUGAAGCGGGAAGAGCUCAAAUUUAAAAUCUGGCGGUCUCUGGCCGUCCGAGUUGUAA